CUUUGCAUCAGAAAUUUUGGUUUGAUUUUUUGCAUUCUGCGAAAAUCAAUUAAAAGGGAAUCAGGUGAAACUCCUGAACAGUCCCGCUGCUGUAAACUCCUAAAUUUCAACGUAUUGAACAAUACUUUUGCCACUGUAAAAAACGGGAAGGCGUUCAAUAACGGGAGUAAGUCAGAAGACCUGCCAAAAUAAUUUUUAGUUUC
rnacentral:ncRNA from 1 species